rnacentral:rRNA from 1 species
GACAGUGUAACACCAGCCAUUUGUUACCGUAUCGCUAACCUGAACAAGGGACAGCGGCAGGUGGGCAGUUCGGCUGGGGCGGCACCCCCUUGAAAAUGUAUCGAGGGGGCCCAAAGAUUGGCUCAGGCGGGACAGAACUCCGCCGGUGAGGGCAAAGCCAAAAGCCAGUCUGACUGGAUUCCCAAUGAUACGGGAUUCAGAGGCGAAAGCCGGGCUUAGCGAUCCAUCAUGUCCUCACUAUUGGGGGCUGGUGGUGACAGAAAAGUUACCCUAGGGAUAACAGGCUCGUCGCGGGCGAGAGCUCCCAUCGACCCCGCGGUUUGGUACCUCGAUGUCGGCUCUUCCCAUCCUGGCUCUGCAGCAGGAGCCAAGGGUG